rnacentral:lncRNA from 10 species
CUUGUUACCCAUGCAAUGUUGGGGUCAGAGAGUGUAGAGAGUGGUGUGGGGAGAGUGCAGGCUGAAGAGUUACCUAAGGUCAAAAUCCUGACCUAUGAGCCAAGCCAUCGAUUUGGGAUUUCUACUGAGGACACUGGAAGUCACUAAGAGCAUCUGAAUGGAAAUCGAGGUUAAGAGAGGGUAGGCGAUUUGCCUGAGAUCACACAGCCUCGUGUGUGGCAGAGCCUUAGAUUCCAAGCCAGGCUGUCCGAUGCCAGACCUUCACAGCUAUCCUAUGCUUCCACGGCACCCCGGACUUCCCCUUGGAGCACUUGCCAGUGAAACAAACAUGCCCUGGAGAAAUGCCUGGGUGAGUGUGCCUUCUUCCUUGCACAGAGACGGGCCUCUUGCACCCUCUACUUUCCUACUGUGGCUGGGGUGAGGUGGCGGGUAGAAGGGCGUGGGUUGUAGCUCACUGUCUUCUUCAGGAGUCCCACAGUGGGUAGGAGCACCAGCUGUUCAACAAGAGAAGACCAUUAGGCUUCAGGAGGGAGAGGAAGUUUUUUUGGGAAUGAGAGGACCAAGAGAAAUGAGGCACAGGGGAGAUCGGCCCCAAGGCUUGUCCUGAAAAAAGAACAUCAUCUUCUUCUAAGGUCCCGAGCGUGGGAUUUAUCUGACACAUUCUUCCACAUGCUUAUUGCAGGAGGAGCGUUGUGUUAAGUGCUUUGCAUGCAUUAAUUAUCUCAUUUAAACCAAAACCAACCCAGUGUGGCUGAGUGACUAUAUGAUGUCCAUUUUACAGAUGAGGAAAGGGAGGCUGAGAGAGCUUAAAGGACACACCACUUUUGAGUGGCAGAGCUAGGAUGCAAACCAGACCUGACUGCUGUUAAAGCUUGUGAUGUUUGUAGUCAUUCUUCUAUACUGUACCCUCAUAGGAAGUUCAAAAACAGAGAGGGUGGGAUUUGGUCUUUGGCUUUUGUUUAAAUGUAUGUUUUUAUAGAUAUAUUUCCUUAGCCCAUGCUAUGAACCAGGAGUUUCCAUUUGUUUAUUUAACUGAUUUAUUAAGCCUUUUUAGGGGCCAGCCCAGGUUCUGGGCACAAGCUGGAGAAGGAGAGCUGCUGCGGUCCCUAACUCAUGCCUCUUGCGGCAGUGGGUGGGUGUGAAGAGGGAGGAGGGGAGGAGGUGGUGAGAAGUCUGCUUCACAUUAUUCAGAGUUUCCUGUGAGCCAGGCACUGUGCCUGGGGCUAAGUGAUUAUAUCAUUUAGCCCUCCCAAUAGACUCUCAGGUAGACGCUCUCUUAUUUCCACUUUUUCCCAUUUACAGAUGGGGAAAUGAAGACUUAAGAAACUUAGGUAAUCUGCCCAAAGGCUUAUAGCCAAUACAUGGUAAAGCUGAGAUGUGAACUCAAGUAUCUGACUCCAAAGCCUGGGUUUUUUCUCUUUCUCUCUCUCUUUUUUUUUUUUUUUUGAGACAGGGUCUCACUCCUUCACCCAGUCUGGAGUGCAGUGACAUGGUCAUAACUCACUGUAACCUCAAACUCCUGGGCUCAAGUGAUCCUCCUUUCUCAGCCUCCUGAGUAGCUGGGACUACAGGCACACACUUUUAUGCCUGGAUAAUUUUUGUACUUUUUUUGUAGACAGGGUCUUACUGUGUUGCCCAGGCUGGUCUGGAACUCCUAGGCUAAAAUGAUCCUCCUGCCUCAGCCUCCCAAAUUGCUGGGAUUACAGGUGUGAGCCACUGUGCCCGGUCAAAGCCUGUGCUUUGAUUUGCCACCUAAUCCUCCUCCGUUUUAUAUGUAAUGUUAACCCCAAACCUGCAGGGUAGCCGUUAUCAGCCUCAUUUAACUGACAGGGAAGCCCAGUCUCAGAGGGGCCAGAUGCGUGCCCAAGGCCUUGCUGGGAAGAAUGGGAUUCUGGGCCCAGGCAUUCCAGCGCCAAGUCCAGGGCGUGAUUGUUACUCUGCAGUCCCUCUCUGUGACAAGAGCCUCACCGGGAACUCGGGGGUGGGGGCUCCCCCAAGCCUCCUGGCUGGACCCCAUUCCAAGCGUUAGUGUAACAGAUGUUGUGUGGCGGGAGUCUGUUGUGCUCCUGGUGUGUGGCUGGGAUUCAGAGGUGUCUUCAAGCGCUCUAGGAAGCCGGCGGGCGGGGCCAUGGCCGCAGAAGUGAGUGCAGGGAUGGAGAAUACAGGGAGUCCCUUGACCGGAGGAGACUUUGGAGGCAUUUGUGCUGUUCGCGUGAACUCCGCGUCCAUGGCCUACCCUGUGAUUGUCAUCAUUUCUAUGUGAGAAAAAAGCGGCUACUGAUUCACAGCGAAAGGAAACGGACUAGGUUCUGAAACUUCCUGUUUGUCUGGUAUCUGCAAAGAUAUGUGUGUUAUGCAAAUACCCUGACUCCCCAGAACUGCAGGUGUGUACAAACACACACACGCACGCACACACACACACACACACACACACACACACACACCCUCUGCUUGGCCCCAUGCAGUGGGUCUCCUCUGUACCCAGUAAACUGAAACAUGACUCUACUAACAUGGUAGCCAGGACACUGGGGACUCUGCUGUCGGAAUCCCUGAUCAUAGAGACAGCAGCUUUGGCCUUCGGCUCAAAGAGCUUCACAGAUGUCCCUUGUAGGCGAGUCCUGGCUCUGGCUCCUGGCCCACUGCAGAGCCUGGGAGUGAGGCAGGCAGAUAGGCGAGGGGGUCUCACCCAGGCCCAGGAACUCCAUUUUCUCUCAGCCCCAUUCCUCCCUCCCUCGGCUCCCUGACCGUGCUGAACGCAGCUCCCAAGCAGGGGGAGAGUCCAGAUAAUGGCAGAUGUUGAUUGUUUCCUGUUGGUUCACUGUGUCCUUUUGGCAGGCCUUUCUUUCUUUCAAAAUAUAUUCAGGUUUGAGCCUAGCACUGCAGCUUGCUGAGUGGGUCUAUGCUUCCAUAGAGCAGUGGCUUCGGGCACAGGCCUGAGACCCAGCCUGCCUGCGGGCUGCUAGCUGCCAGCUACCUCUGCACUAGGAAGGUUUUUAAACAGCUGAAUGCAAGCUUCAGCGUUAAUAGGUGAAAGUGAAAAUGACAUGUGACUUCUAGACAAUUCUCAUAGAUUCAAAAUAAUUGUUCUCUGUAAUGAGUAAAAUAACACUCUUGCAACAGCUGAAUGCUUUUCUCAUAUUCUGAGUUGCCCGAAUUAGGGGAAAUGGGUCUAAAUGGCUGCAAGAGGCAGUUUUGUCAGCUAGACGUCUUUUUACAAGUAUAUUGCAUCCUUCAGUCUCUUCCUGCCCCACCCUAAGACCCUCACCUGGGAAAUGGGAGGAUGGCUUGGAAGGCAAUUGUCAGGCCUCUGAGCCCAAGCUAAGCCAUCAUAUCCCCUGUGACCUGUACAUACACAUCCAGAUGGCCCGGUUCCUGCCUUAACUGAUGACAUUCCACCACAAAAGAAGUGAAAAUGGCCUGUUCCUGCCUUAACUGAUGACAUUACCUUGUGAAAUUCCUUCUCCUGGCUCAUCCUGGCUCAAAAGCUCCCCCGCUGAGCACCUUGUGACCCCCACCCCUGCCCGCCAGAAAACAACCCCUUUGACUGUAAUUUUCCUUUACCUACCCAAAUCCUAUAAAACAGCCCCACCCCUAUCUCCCUUCGCUGACUCUCUUUUCGGACUCAGCCCGCCUGCACCCAAGUGAAAUAAACAGCCUUGUUGCUCACACAAAGCCUGUUUGGUGGUCUCUUCACACGGACGUGCGUGAAAGCGAUGAAGCUGAGGUUGCAGGAAAGGAGUGAUCACCUGGCUCAGAGCUGGGCCCUAAAAGUCUAGGCCAGAGCCUCCCUGUUGUGAAAGGGAGUGGAAGGAGAAGGGGCUGGGAUGGGUCAAACUGGGUGGAAAGCUAGGCUCUGCUGUUUAGAAGCUGUAUGAUCUUGAGCAAGUUGCUUAACCCUUGCUAAGCCUCAGUUUCCCUUCCUGCAGAAAGGGAUUAUCAUGGGGACGAAAGGGGAUCCAGAACCUGGAGUGGAGGAUAGGGUGGGUAAGUGGAAGGUGUCAUGAGGACAACAUAUGCUGAGACACUCACCACCCUUUCUGAGGGCGCCUCAGCAGCAGGUCACAUGGUGCCUGAAACUCGUUUUUCUGAGUUGUGCUGGUUUGUGGAAUGAAAAGGGAAGCCAGGCUUCCUUCUUACUAGCUCUGACUGCCUUGUUUUAAGGAUCAUUCACCUUCCCUAAGGAUGGGAUAAAGCCUUCCUGUAGAGCAGACCGAUCUCCUUCUUUAUCCCUACAGUUCUCCCACCGUGGCCAUGGCCUUGGGGGCUGUUCUGACUCUUACAUUUAUAUAUCACUCCUACUUUCCCAGCCAGCAGGAUAGAAAACCUGAGAAGGGAAUUCUGCCUUAUAAACAUUUCUUACAGAUGGGGCAGACAGGUUGUUUCUUUUUUACCAAGGAAGCUCAGGGCAAUUCUGGUUGCAGGAAUGUUAAGCACUGAUAAAGAAGAGAAGAAAAAAUAUUCACCCUCCAGGGCCUGGAAUUUCCCCAUUCCUGAGCCCUGGCUUCCCUGUCUGAGAUAGAGACUGUCAGUCAGUCACCUACCAAUUCCCAAUUUCUCUUUCUGCUUUACUAAAAGUACUUGAUUUGGGAUGGGGGUGGGGGGUGGCAGGCAGCAAUACAUCCAAGUAAAAGACUGUACUUCCCAAAUCUCUUGAAACUAGGGACAGCCAAUGAGGUAUAAAUGAAAAUUAUUGGGGCUGGGGUCCCAAAAGCUUCUCUCUCUUUUUUGAGACAGAGUCUCAGUUUGUCAUCUAGGCUGGAGUGCAGCAGCAGGAUCACAGCUGUAAAAUCAAAAGUGUCAAAGACAGGUCUCAAUCAAUUUAGAAAGUUCAUUUUGCCAAAGUUAAGAGCACACCUUUAACCUCAGGUGAUCCUGACAGCAUGUACCCAAGGUGGUUGGUGCCCAACUUGGUUUUAUACAUUUUAGGGAGCAUAAGGCAUCAAUCAAUAUGUGUAAGAUGUACAUUGGUUUGGUCUGGAAAGGUGGGACAACUGAAAGGUGGGACUUCCAAGUCAUAGGUGGAUUCAAAGAUUUUCUGAUUGGCAAUUGGUUGAAAGAGUUAUUAUCGAUAGAAAAGAAUGUCUGGGUUAUGAUGAGGGGUUUUGAAGGGAGGAGGGUAGAAUGAGGCAUGUCUGACUCCCCCUUCCCAUCAUGGCCUGAACUAGUUUUUCAGGUUAACUUUGGAAUGCCCUUGGCUAAGAGGAAGGGUCCAUUCAGAUGGUUGGCGGGGGGGCCUUAGAAUUUUAUUGUUGGUUUACGUGGCUCAGUGCAGCCUUCACCUCCUGGGCUCAAGUGAUCCUUCCAUCUCAGCCUCUUGAGUAGCUGUGGCCACAGGUGCAUGCCACCAUGCCUGGCUAACUUUUUUUUUUGGUAGAUAUGGGGUCUUGCCAUGUUGCCCAGGCUGGUUUUGAAUUCCUAAGCUCAAGUUAUCCUCCUGUUACAGGAAAGGGGUCCUGAUCCAGAUCCCAAGAGAGAGUUCUUGGAUCUCACACAAGAAAGAAUUCGAGGUGAAUCCAUAGAGUAAAGUGAAAGCAAGUUUAUUAGGAAAGUAAAGAAAUAAAAGAAUGGCUACUCCAUAGGCACAGCAGCUUCCAGGGCUGCUGGCUGCCCAUUUUUAUGGUUAUUUCUUGAUUAUAUGCUAAUUAUUUAGUGUUUGCAAAAAUAGCCAGGCUAUAAGGGGUGGAUUAUUCAUGAGUUUUGUGGAAAAGGGGUGGGCAAUUCCCAGAGCUGAGGGUUCCUCCCAUUUUUAGACCAUAUAGGGUAACUGCCAGAUCUUACCAUGGCAUCUGUAAACUGCCAUGGUGCUGAUGAGAGUGUCUUUUAGCAUGCUAAGGCAUUAUAAUUAGCAUAUAAUGAGCAGUGAGGACAAUCAGAGAUCACUCUUAUCACUAUCUUGCUUUUGGGGGGUUUUAACCAGCUUCUUUACAGCAGCCUGUUUUAUCAGCAAGGUCUUUGUGACCUGUUUCUUGUGCUGACCUCCUAUGUCAUCCUGUGACUUAGAAUGCCUACCCUUCUAGGAAUGCAGCCUAGUAGUUCUCAGUCUUAUUUUACCCAGCCCCUACUCAAGAUGGAGUCCCUCUGGUUCAAAUGCCUCUGACACUCCCACCUCAGCCUCCCAUAGUGCUGGAAUUACAGGCUUGAGCCACUGCACCUGGCCUUAAAAGCUUCUUAAAGGGAUCUAAGAAAUUGACUCUCCCCACCCUCUUUCUUAACCGUAAAACACUAAUGUAAUGGCUGGAGUUCUAGCAACCAUAUUGGGCCAUGAGGCAACCUUGAAAAAGGAAGCCACAAACUAAAACAUUGACUCUCAACCUUUAAUGCUGAAAAAAGAAAAAGUAUCCCCUGACAUCCGGGAAAUGGCCUGACACUUUGAGCUAGGGCUUAAUCUUAUUAAAAGCUUGCCUGGCUAUUUUUGCAAACACUGAUGUCAGUCGCCAGUCUGCAACUGUGAUGAAGAGGUCAAAAGAGACCCCUUCCUAACUCUGUCUAAGCACAAACAACUCCACAAAACACUAGACACACCCCCUUCUGGCUCAUUAAGUGACAGGGGCCUCCUUAUCAACUAUAACUAUAGCCUUGAUCUUGUCUUCUGUCCUUAUAGAUAAGAUUUACUAACAUACCCAGCUGCAGAAUUGUCCCAUUUCCAGACAGCAGACAAUGCAGAGCAAGCCCUUCCCUCCUAGACCCUCCCCAAAUUCACCUAACCAAAGCCCAAAGCCUAAAAGUCCCUUUGAACACCUUUUUAGUGAAAUGGUGCCCCCAUGAUAUCUUCCUCAUUGCAACCAGUAAUAAAGCCAACUUGUUCAAAUGCCGGUUUGCAAAUAAAUCACUUGGGGAUUUGUUAAAAUGCAGACUGUGGUUCAGUAGGUCUGAAGUAGAGCUUAUUCUGUGUUUGCCACAAGCACCCAGUGAGGCACUUGCUGCUGGACCAUGGUCCCACUUUGGGUAGCAAGGCAGUUAAGGGUGGCAGAUUAGAACACUGGACAUGCUUAACCUUGACCAUGGGACCACUGUAUGCAUCCUGUUGUUUCUCAGUGAAAAUAUGCCUGUAUUUCAUGUAAGCCCCCGCUAUAUAUGUUGGCUACUAGCAACUUAACCAACACGUUGUCCUUGUCCUUAGAAAAUGUGUGGUUACAGCCAGGUGUGAGCAGGCCUAGACCAGGCUUGGGGAUUUAUUGACCAAAUGUGGUGCCUUUGAGGUGAAACCACAAGUAAUCAGAGAAGCUGAGUCACUCCACUUAGUGGACUGGUGGAAAAUUCUCAAAUGGUCUUAAGCUGGCCCCAUGUUGGGCUGAGGACUAGAGAUCUCAGAGGCUCCACCUGCCCAUCCAAUUGCAGGUGUCUGGGCCUGGCCCCACCUUGCCUUCCUGCUCCAUUGCUCACCAUUCCACACCCAAAGGCACCAUGAUGUUUUGUACCUCCUUGCCUUUGCUCUUCCCUUUGCCAGGGAUGCCCUUCCCACCUUCCUCCACGUGGCUAACCCUCCCUCAGCUCUGCUUCCAGGGUGUCUCCCCUGGUCGCCAAGGGCUGGCUAGUGCCUCUUCUUUGCUCCCAGGGCACCCUGUGCCUUUCUGUGCCCCAACUAUUUCCCAGUUUGUAGCAGUUAUUUAUUUUGUGGUCAUCUUCCCACUGGUCGUCAGCUCCUAGAGGGCAGGGAUCAUGUUUUGGGUUAUUCAUCACUGCAUCCCCUGACAUAGUCCCCAAACCUCGAGAACUAUGAAACUGCACCAAAGGUUCCAGCUCCCCCACAGCCUGCCCUUAACCUUGAGCCAUUUGAAGGGAGAGUAUGAGACAAUAGUGAAAGAAACCCUUCUCUAAUGUUUUCCCCAUUUAGGUUAUGUGAAGUUGGCAGUUCCCAAGGGCUUUAGGCUUGAAGCUGUGGGUCAUACCCCUUCGGAAACUUGGUCCCCAAGAGAAAUGUAUGCUUCUGAAAACCACAGGUGCAUGAAUCGUGUUUAGUAAAUGACUACUAAACUGAAAUCAGGACUUGUCUAUAUCUUGGCUUCUCAAACUUGAAUAUGCUUAUCAUCUGGAUAGCAAAAGCAUUCCUACACGUUGAGGCCUGCCAGCGUGGGUGUCACCCAGGAGCCACUCGGAAAGGCUCAUCGGAAACCACCCCGGACUGACUGAGGCAGAAUCUCUGGGGGCAGGACCCAGGCCUCAGCAUAAAAACUCCAGGUGACGGAAGAGCUCCCACCUAACAGGUGUGUUGGCAUUGUUGUAGGUGACUGACGUAGUUUCCCAUCUCACAACUCUACCUCCAUGAAGAAAAGUCAUGGAAAAUUGAGACUUUGGGCUGAGUGUGGCUCAUCCCUGUAAUCUUAGUGCUUUGGGAGGCUGAGGUAGGAGGAUCGCUUGAGGCCAGGAAUUUGAGGCCAGCCUGAGCAACAUAGUGUCUCUUCAAAAAACUAAGUUUAUUCUUUCCUCUUUUUUAGUUUUUAUUUUACACGGCUCACUGUGGCUUUGACCUCCCAUGCUGAAGCGAUCCUCCUAUCUCAACCUCUCAAGUAGCUGGAAGCACAGGCAUGCACCACCACACCUGGCUAAUUUUUUUCUUCCUUUUUUAAAGAGACAGUCUUGCCAUGUUGCCCAGGCCCUGUUGACCAGGAAAAAAAAAAGUUUUUUUUCUUUUUUAAAGAAAGAAAAUAAAAGAGACUGAGAAACCACAGAAAUAAAGAAGCGCUGAUGACAAUGCCUGCUUGCUGAUGGUUACGAUGAUCAUAGCAGUGUGCAUUUUGUAUGCAUGAAGCCUGCGACUAAAUAAACGUGUGGGGAAAUAUUUGUAAGGAAAUAAGCUAUUAAUAAAAUAAGCUAAAAUCACAGUUGCUGGACUAUGACUGAUUUUUCCCCUUUCUCUCAUUUAAAAUUAAAUAUUUGUAUGACUUGUAUAAUAGAAAAAUACAUGUAUUCAAUCUUAAAAAGAUAUUCUUAUUUUACACUUUACGGGACAAAAGAGGUUGUAGGUUGGAAUGGUUCAGUCCCCUUGUGACAACUCAAAAACAGAGACCUUAAGCCUUUCUCAACCAAUGUUGCGGGACAAGCAGGCGUGUGAGGCGACAAUGCCAUUAGGGUAUUUUUUGGAAAAAUUUUAGUGUGAGAGACAAAAGCCAAAUUCAAACUGGCCUGAGCCAAAAUAGGUAGGAAAGGGAGAAGCGGAGACAGGGAGGAAGAAAGAGAGAGAACAGAAAGAAAAAGGGAGAAAUGUCGAAAGGCAAAAUUACAACACAUUUAGUUAAAUGAUUGAAUUGGUUUUUAUUUGUAAUUCAUGAAUUGGGGCAGCAUCUCCUCUAAAACUUUAGGAAAAGUGCUCUGAUGAGCUAAACAGAGAAGCUUGGCUUUAUAGGCAGAAAAGGGUGAAGAAAGCAGACACAGGGAACAAAAAGCAGAUUGGUAAGCUCAGGUUACUUCAGGUUACUUUCCUUAUAAAGGUUAAAGUAGAGGGGACUUCCUUAUCAUGCUGGCUACAACUGGCCUGUUUGGGGAUUUGCAUAUUAUCUCUCUCUGUCUUGAGUUCUGGGAAGGUCUGAUGACUUAGUUUCAGUUUGGUGAUAUGGAACUUAGCAUGAGUGACUCCAUCUUGGUUUGGUCUACUGGGGCCUCCUGCAGGAGCUCAGCCCAAAUCAGUGACCUCCUAUAAAUUUCAUUUAAUAGAAAAGGAAGGAAGGAAGGAAGGAAGGAAGGAAGGAAGGAAGGAAGGAAGGAAGGGAGGGAGGGAGGGAGGGAGGGAGGGAGGAAGGGAGGAAAGAAGGAAGGAAAGAAAGAAAGUUGCUUAUAAGUUGCUUAUAACUAAAAAGACCAGCUGGACCCAGGAGCUCUGAGGUUGCUUUCAGGCCUCUGUCCAUCUCUUAGUUUUCCAUCCUCAGACAGGCUCUGCCCUGCCUUACAGUCUAGCAUUGUUGGCCAAAGGUGACUGACUGGCCCAGCUUGGGCUAUAUGUCCUUCCCUGUGGCCAGAGAGAUGUGUCUCUGUGAUGGCCAGGCUUGGGUCACGUACUCCCUCCCCUACCAGAAUCACAUGAAAAGAGGGAGGAAGAGCCGCUUUCCACCAAAGGAAACUGAAGUGCUAUUGUCAGAGGGGUUGCUGGGCAGACCAAAAAGAUGACAAUAUCUGCUCCAAUCGCUCGGGUUGUUGGUGCUUGGCAGAUUUGCCCCUACGUCACUUUUCAGAUGUGGAUAAGACUGAAGGUGACCACAGGCUUCCGAGAGGAAAGCUGCCAAUGGGGGUGUGAGAGGAGGGGGAAUUCUUACUCACCAAGGUUAACACUGUGCACACUGUUCUCCGAGGAAGUGGGAAUUUCCACAUGGUGAGUUCCCUUCCCUGUACAAUGAAUUACUAUCUUGAUGAGAAACCCGUGGGCAGCUGGUUGAGAAGAGAAAGGUAUUCUCUGAAUGAGAGGGAAUUUACCACCUUCCUUUCAAUGGUGACAGUUUUUUCUGGUGUCACCGCAGGGUGUGGAUUGAUUCAUAUACAAAUAUACAUAUCUACAUAGAUGCCAUUCUGCUAGCCUCUGCAAAAUGCAUGCCUGGAGACCAUUUCUGCUGCCUAGGAGAUGUCAACUUUGUCACCACCACUCUCUCUCCACCACUCCCACACCCUGCAGGGGCCAGGUGUGUGGGUGGGGAGCUCCCCAGCUGGAGGCCAGAUUAGAGGUCUCUGUGUGGUGGGGAUGGGGAGGAUGGGGUGGGAAUGAGGUGGUAGGCCACUGGCAGUGGUCCAAGUUCCAUCCAGGAUCUGUCCUAGGCCUCUCCCCAGGCUGUCGCUUCCACCAUUGAAUUUCUAACCUGGAUCUCUAAGGUUAUGAAUAUCUCAUUCCCGCAUCCUGGGGUGCUCAGACAUGUCUCCCCUGAGUCUCUAGCUGGGCUCGUGGCUGUGAUCAUUGUCCUCAGAGUUCCAUCCUCCCAACAAAGGGACAGAAGAAACACAGGGCCCACUUUUCUGGAUUCUGAGUUGGAGCCAAGAAAUUCUAUCUGCUGCUUCCUUCCUGUUGAAUUAUCCCCCAAGGACCCCUUAGUCCCUCCAGUCUCCUCCAGAGGCCUAUAGCUGCCCCAGCUCCCCAUGAUGGAUACCUGGCUCUUUCCUACCCAGAGGAAAACGCAGGCCCUUCCCCAGCCCUGCACUGAACUCCUGUGAGUGGCUGAGGAGAUGAGGAGGUGUGAAGAGUGAGUGUGUUGGGGAGGGAGGGGUCCCCUGCCACCAGGUACCAAGGACUUCUGCCAGAUCACCAGAACUGACACCUGGUUCCACCGGCCAGCUGUGAAGUGUCGGCCCUGACAUCAACAGCUGACCUCCCACAGGGCCUAAGGAAACGGAAUUGUGGGUAAAUGAAACAUUUUAUUUAUUUUAUUUUGUUUUAUUUUUAUAAAUUUUUGGGGAGACAGUUUUGCUAUGUUGCCAAGGCUGGGCUUGAUCUCCUGACCUUAAGUGAUCCUCCUACCUUGGCCUCCUGUGCUGAGAUUACAGGUGUGAAUCACCAUGCCUGGCCAAGAAGUGAAUUUGUAAAAGACAUGAGGAAAGGCCUGGUGGAAAGCUAACAGUGAAAAAAAUUUUCAAUACUUGCUAUAGAAACUAAAGAAACUCACAAUAUUUUGCUCUCUAUUGGAUCAUUUCCAUCAACAUACAAAUAAAUACCUGUUAUUUUUUCCAUCUUUAAAAAAAUGCCUUCAUUAUAAGUGAUUCAACAAAUUAAUAAACGAGAAGGGAAAAAUCUUCUCUAUAGAAGAAUUCCAAAUAGCAUAUGUAGAUACUCUCCCCUCCAGGAAGCCGAGCUUAAAUCCACUCUCUUUGAGAGUGGACUGGAUUUAGUGACUCACUUCCAAAGAGUAGAGUAUGGAAAGGGAAAAUAGUAACUUUAUAGGAAAGAAACCCAGCAGGUACCUUGUUAACCAAAUGAUGAAGGUUAACAUCACCGCUGAUAAGUCAUGUUGCUAUCAUUCACCCGCUGAUACGAUCUCAUGAGAAGGGCAAUUCCCGACUGUGGUAUUCUUCAAAUCUAUUGAGUUAUAAGAAAACAUGAGAUAAACCCAAACUGAGGAACAUUCUACAGAAUACAUGACCAGUAUUCUUCAAAGCCCUUAAGGUCAUGAUAAACAAGGGAAGACUAAGAAGUGAUCACAGAUUGGGAUGACUGAGACAUGAUGACAAAAUGCAGAGUGAUAUCUUGGAACAGAAAAAAGACAUUAGUGAGAAAAUUCAAAAAACUCUGAUUAGAGUUGAUAGUUGGGCUAUUAGUUUUAUACCAAUGUGAAUUUCUUAGUUUUGACAAAUAUACGUGAGGGAAAGCUAGGCGAAGGGUAUUCUGGAAAUCUCUACCCUGUACUGUCUUUUCAACUUUUCUAUGAAUCUAAAGCUCUUCCAAAGAUAAGUCUAUUAAAAAAAUAACAAAAACUUCCUCUAAAAUUUAAAGACGGACAAUAUCAGGUGUUGAUAAAUCUGUGGAGAAUUUGGAGCUCAUACAUUGCUGGUGAGAAUGUGAAAUUAUGUAGUUAUUUUGGAAAACAGUUCGGUAGUUCUUAUAAAAUGAAAGAUACAUCACUAAAUGACCCAACGAUUCUACUCCUUGAUAUCUACCCAGUAGGAAGGAAAUGAUGUCCGUACAAAGACUUGUAUACAAAUAUUCAUACCAUUUUUCAUCAUAAUGGCCCAAAACUAGAAACAACUCAAAUGUCCAUCAACAAGUAAUGGGUAAUCAAAUUGCGGUAUAUAUAUACAAUGAAAUAUAACUCAAUAUAAAGUAAGAAACUACUCAUAGAUACAGCAACAUGGAUAUUUCUCAAGUAUAUGCUGAGCAAAAAAAGCCAGACACAGGAGCACAUCCUAUAUGAUUCAAUUUAUACGACAUUUUAGAAAAGGCAAAACUAAUCUCAGAGACAGAAAGCAGGUCUGUGGUUGCCUGGAGCUGCGGAUUGGGGAGGGGAUGAUGGGAGAGAUUGACAAAAGGAGCACAAGGAACCUUUUGGGGUGAUGCUGGUAAUAUAUAUCUUGAUUGUUGUGGUGGUUACAUGGAUGCAUACAUUUGUCAAAAAUCAUUAAACUGUAUACUUCAAAUUUAUUAUAUGUAAAUUAUGCCUUAAUAAAGUUGAUUUUCUGAAAAGCUUUCUUUGAUCCGUUUACCCUGCCAGCUCCCCUUUUGCAAGACUCCUGAAAGAGCUGCUGAUACUCACUGUCUCCACUUCUACCCCAUAUGUUCUUUCUGAAGCCCACCCCAGCCAGGCUUCUAUUCCCAUCAUGCCAUGGAAACCAUUCUCAUCAAGGCGGCAGUGACCUCCGUGUUGCUAAAUCCAAUGAGCACUCACCACUUUCCAGUACAGUAUAUUAUUCAACCUGCUUGUUUAUUUUGUUUACUUUUCAUUGUCUAUCUACUCAAAGGCAGGAAACUGCUUUGUUCACGGCUGUAUCCCAAGUCCUAGAGUAGUGCCUGGCCCGUAGUAGCUGCCCAGUAGGUACUUGUUGAAUGAAGUAAUAAAGUUUCACCAGCAAGAGCAAACUUCCUACCUCUGGCCUAUCAGCCCAGGUCUGAGCAGACUGAUCCAGGAGACGACAGAGAAAAGGUGGAUCUGGAGGGAUCCUGCCCUGUCCCAGGAUUGGGAGAAUUGAGAGAGGCUCCGGAUUCUUCUUCAUUGUCUUUGGUUGUGCCUCGUGACCUCAGACAGACCUGGGCCUCUGGUUCGCUAGGCUGCAGCUGUGUGCUCAGAGCCACUGCCCACCGCUUAACGUCAUAGUUCUCAGGGGACCUUCCAGGAAUACUCAGAGGACAUAUGUCUGUGACUGCACUGUCCAGGGUACCAGCCACUGGCCAUGUGGCUACUGAGUACUUAUUUGGCCAGUCCCAAAUGAGAUGUGUUGAAACUGUAAAAUUUCAAAGACUUAGUACAAA